UAGGAGUUAUGGGGUUGUUUAACUGGUUUAUCUGUUCCUGAUUUAACUUCGGUACCUGGUAUCUGUCUAGGAAAUUGUCCAUUUCCUGUAGAUUUUCAAGUUUUGUUGAAUAUAGGCUUUUAUAGUAAGAUCUGAUGAUUUUUUGAAUUUCCUCUGAAUCUGUAGGUAUGUCUCCCUUUUCAUUUCUGAUUUUGUUUAUUUGGACACACUCUCUGUGUCCUCUCGUUAGUCUGGCUAAGGGUUUAUCUAUCUUGUUGAUUUUCUCAAAGAACCAACUUUUGGUUCUGUUGAUUCUUUCUAUGGUCCUUUUUGUUUCUACUUUGUUGAUUUCCGCUCUGAGUUUAAUUAUUUCCUGCCUUCUAUUCCUUCUGGGUGUAUUUGCUUCUUUUUGCUCUAGAGCUUUUAGGUGUGCUGUCAAGCUGCUGACAUAUGCUCUUUCUUGUUUCUUUCUGCAGGCACACAGUGCUAUGAGUUUUCCUCUUAGCACAGCUUUCAUUGUGUCCCAUAAGUUUGAGUAUGUUGUAUCUUCAUUUUCGUUAAAUUCUAAAAAGUUUUUAAUUUCUUUCUUUAUUUCUUCCUUGACUAGGUUAUCAUUGAGUAGAGCAUUGUUCAAUUUCCACGUAUAUGUGGGCAUUCUUCCCUUAUACACAAAGUACUUAAACACAGCAACUUCUCUACGAGCUUCACUUAUGCUGACUACUUUUAUCUUCACAGUGACCUUCUGUUAUAUUCACUUCCCGUUUGAGGGAGUCUAAGCAAAUUAAGUAUUCUACCCAAGCUGAUGCAGAUUACAGCAGCAAGCACAGCCACUACUGGGGCCCAGCCAGCCAGCAUGGGUGCUGGGUUUAUAUAUCUUAUUUAUUAUUACUUUUCAAACAGGAUCUCUCUACAUAGCCCCAGCUGUCUUGGGGUGGCAGUGAACUCACAGAGGUCCACUUGCCUCUGCCUCCUGAGUACUAGGAUUAAAGGUGUGAGCUACCAUGCCCAGUUGUUGCUGCAGUUAAAUGAAGACCUUCAGGGCUCAACUCUACUAUUUACUUUAGGGAAAGAAUAUCCUGUUGGGAUAAAUGUCUGUUCUGUUCCCUCAAAUGCUAGCAGAGCUGUUUCUUGAACAACUUCAAAUGCCAACCUGCUUCAGACACUGAAAGCAGAGUGAGAAAUCCAGGAGAAAUAAUCCAGGUUUCCCUGGUAAGUGGUGAGGCCCCACUCUAGACAGCCUCUGCUGUGGAGCUGCCUUUCCUGCAUUCUACAUAGGUAUCAGGAGUGUGGAGGCCUCUCCUGUGGAUUAGCCUUCUUAAAUUAGCAUAGAAAGUAAUGGAGUUUAGGACAGCACUUCCUUACUUUGUUGUUAUUUGUCCUCUUCCCCGUCUCCUCUGUAUCCCCUUGUUGAUCCCUUUCCUUUCUAUAAUAUUCCUAAUAUUCCUGCUCUCAUGAGAGCAUGACCAUCUCCUAAGAGAUGUUAUGCUAAGAGCCUUCCUGUCUCUUAUAUAUGCGCGCGCGCACACACACACACACACACACACACACACACACACACCACACAGAACUUAGUUUCCCCCAUUUUCUUCAACUGAUUUUAUUCCACUGCUAUUUAUUUUAAAAAGAUCUUUAAAGAUUUAUUUAUUUAUCAUGUAUAAGUACACUGUAGCUGCCUUCAGACACAGAGAAGAAAGCAUUGGAUCCCAUUACAGAUGGUUGUGAGCCACCAUGUGGUUGCUGGGAAUUGAACUCAGGACCUCUGGAAGAACAGUCAGUGCUCUUAACCCCUGAGCCAUCUCUCCAGCCCCUUAAAAAGAUCUUUAAAGGAAUCACAUAUUCUCCAUGGCAAAACAUUUGAGCCAUUCACCUGGUUGACUAUAAGAAGAGCCACCUAGUGGCAAAAUUUAGCAUGCCAUUCUAAAAAUAAAACCAACCAACCAACCAACCAACCAACCAACCAAAAAACCCCAAUUGGGCAAUAAUGUAAAAUGUAUUAAUGUUGCAUCUCAACCAUGAGGUAUGAUUACUAAACUAUAUUACUGUACGUAGAUAUAUGUGAGAUAUUAUUAUUUUUUUAAAUUAACUUGAGUAUUUCUUAUUUACAUUUCGAGUGUUAUUCCCUUUCCCGGUUUCCAGGCAAACAUCCCCCUAAUCCCUCCCCUUCCCCUUCUUUAUGGGUGUUCCCCUCCCCAUCCUUUCCCCAUUGCCGCCCUCCCCCCAACAAUCACGUUCACUGGGGGUUCAGUCUUAGCAGGACCCAGGGCUUUCCAUUCCACUGGUGCUCUUACUAGGCUAUUCAUUGCUACCUAUGAGGUCAGAGUCCAGGGUCAGUCCAUGUAUAGUAUUUAGGUAGUGGCUUAGUCCCUGGAAGCUCUGGUUGCUUGGCAUUGUUGUUCAUAAGGGGUCUCAAGCCCCUUCAAGGUCUUCCAGUUCUUUCUCUGAUUCCUUCAACGGGGGUCCUAUUCUCAGUUCAGUGGUUUGCUGCUGGCAUUCGCCUCUGUAUUUGCUGUAUUCUGGCUGUGUCUCUCAGGAGAGAUCUACAUCCGGCUCCUGUCUGCCUGCACUUCUUUGCUUCAUCUAUCUUGUCUAAUUGGGUGGCUGUAUAUGUAUGGGCCACAUGUGGGGCAGGCUCUGAAUGGGUGUUCCUUCUGUGUUAUGUGAGAUAUUAUAUUGCUGUUACCGUUGUUGUUUUGUGGUGCUGGGAAUCAAACCAGGGCCUGGUGUGUGCUAGAAAAGCACAUAAGCACUGAGUUACAGCCACAGCUCUGGCUCUUGAUCUGCUUUGAAAUUGAUUUGGGAAAAGGCCUCAAUAACUUUCCCAGGCUCGCUUGAAAUUCAACCUUGCCAACUUUCUGAGUAUCUGGCAAUCACAGGCUUAUGCCAUUAGGCCUAACUCAUUUAGUAUUUUUUUUUAACAUCAGCAAAUAUUAUUCACAGACAUUCACUGAGAAUUUCAAAUGUCCAAAUUAAAAUACCUGAGAGAUAUUACAUUUAGCAUGAGUUUACAAUUCUUGGAUCAAAAUCUCCGUUCUCUCCAGCACUCUCAGCUUCAGAACUGAUUGGACUUAAAAAUAAAAACUCCCAAGGUCUGCUGAAUUAGAUUUUUCUUAAUAUCUUAUUUAAUUUCAGGAAAGCUUAAUAAUAUUUGAAUAUUCCUUAUUAUAAACAUGCGUCAAUAAUCAAGACUGUUAUGCUUCCUUUUGUGAUGUAACUGUUAUCAAGGCACCCAUGCAACAUUUUCUAGUAACUUGGAAAUCUACUAAAGUCUUUGGAUCUCCAUUUGCUACAUCUUAAAUAAGAUCCUCACUGCUUGAAUAUGACGAUGAGUUUGCAACUUGAAAAUACAGAGACUAUGUGGAACAGAGACUGAAGGAAAGGCCAUCUUGAGACUGCCCCACCUGCAGAUGCCAAACCCAAACACUAUUGCUGAUGUGAAGAAACACUUCCUGACAGGAGCCUGGUAUCAUGGUUACCUGAGAAGCUGUGCCAGAGCCUGACCACUACGAAUACAGAUGCUCUUAGCCAACCAUAGGACUGGGCAGGGGCAACCCCAAGGGAAGAGUUAGGGGAAAGACUAAAGGAGCUGAAGAGGAUUGCAACCCCAUAGGAAGAACAAAAAUAUCAACUAACCAGACUCCCCAGAACUCCAAGGGACAAAAACACCAACAAAAGAAACUCAUGGAGGGACUCCAUGGUUCCAACUGUAGAUGUGGCAGAGGACUGCCUCAUCUUGCAUCAGGGGGAGACACACUGGCUGCCCUACUCCAGAAGGAGCUGUUUCUAAUUUAGUUCAUCUUUCUACCCUGACAACACGCAGGAGAGUCUGGAUCAUAUCAGUCAGUGAGUGCUUGAAUCAUUUGCUUCAUGAAAUUAAGGAAAGAAGAGAUAGAGGAAGGCUGAAGGCACAUUGUUCAAGUGAGGCUUCCUCUGUACCAAAGUAAAUACAAGGUAAUAAAUACCUUUAUGUCUAAACUGUCUUAAUUUUUUGCUCUAUUAAUCUGUUGAUCUUAAACUCCUAAAUUUUCAUUCAAAGAUGUUGCUACUACAGGAAAAGGGCCUUUUGUAUGACCUUUCCCCUACUUGUUUGUAGGUGUUCUUCAAAUACUAGCGACUAUUCCUUCUUGUACCCAUUGCUACCACAUGUGAACCACACAGUGUUUAUAGUCAGAUGACUCUAAAUAGGUCAAAACAAUAAGCUAGCAAAACAACUUGUUCAGGCCAUGUUGUCCCCAAGGCCAAAAGUUGCUUAAGUGGUACUUUACCUUUCCAAAUAUGUGCAGCUGUAUAUUGAAAGUAUCAUCAUCUUCAAAGAUAAAUAGCCAGUCCCAUGAUAUAAUCAUUUUCCUAUUAUUAAAUUCUUUAGGAGCAAUGAAACUUCCAGACUUAAAUCCUGUCUCAUGGUGUCCACUUAGUUCUAGCAGGAAACAGAUGUCACACUGAAAAGAAGUGUUUAUACCUGUGUGGAGAGGGGUAAGGACACCAACAAGGAAACAUGAUAUUCUGGGGUGGUCAGCAGAGGCCUUGUCAUGGCAUGUAGCAUGAAGAGGCUGGGGAGGCAGAAGCAGCAGUAGUCCUACUUUUAUAGUUACCUGGCAGUGUGCUAGUUUUUAUGUUGCCUUGACCAAAAAAAAAAAAAAAAAACAGCAGGAGCAAGGGAGAAAACACUUAUUUUUGUUUAUAAUUUCAAAGAGUUCUAGUCAAGUGGGAAAAGCACGCAGAGUUCAUGGUGGCAGGAAUCUGUGGCAGGGACUCUGCAUCAUAGUGGACAGAAAGCAGAGGCCAGGGGAGAGAACCAGGAAACAGAACUGCCCCUAGUGACCUGCUUUUGCAAGCUACACCCUACAUCUUCAAGAUUCUUCGGCCUCCCCAGUGUGCCACCAGCUGGAGAGCAAGUUUUUAAAACAUGAGCCUGUGGAACAUACGUCAGAAUUAAAUAAAGAAGAAUAUGGAUGGAUGGUUUUAAAUGAUAAUAUUUAUUCUUUCAAAGUUUCAUGCUUAUACAAUGCCAUUUAUCAUAUUCAUUCAGAUAAUGACCUGUUUACAACAUCCCUAGUGUACCCUACCCAUUCUCCCUGCCUACUUCAUGUUCUUUUUAAAAAUAUUUGUUAUUGGACACAGGUGGUGGCUCAUGCUUUCAAUCUCAGCAUUCAGGCCGAGGCAGGGGGAUCUCUGUGAGUCUGAGGACAACUAGGGCUCCAUAGUGAGACCAUGUUUCAAAAAUCCAAACAAAACUCAAAGACAGACAGACAGACAGACACAGACACAGACACAGACACAGACACACACCACACACACACACACACACACACACACAGAGAGAGAGAGAGAGAGAGAGAGAGAGAGAGAGAGAGAGAGAGAGAGAGAGAGAGAGAGAGAAACACCCCAGACAAAACCCCAACAGACUCUCUUUUAGUCUCCUUCAUUCUUAAGGUGGAGUCAGAGUAGGUACUACUGAGGCUAACCGAUCAUUGUUACUAACACAUUCUCACAGUGCGAGAUAGGAACACAUGGUGGCAUAGCAUGAGCUUUACCAUGUUUAUCAGAGCAUAGCAGGAAAUUAGCAAUAAAAUAAAUAAAACAAUAAAAUGUGCUGCUUUACAUCUUUUGCAUCUUUCUCAUCAGCUCACAGGCUCUGCUCAAAAUUCUUCAUAACAGACAUGGUCCCUGUAGAUAAGGACUUUAGCAAACAAACUUUUAUUUUUUUAAACAAUACUGCAAAAAUUAGAUAUAUAUUUACUCAUUGUGUUAAAAGUGAGGACUUCUGGAACCAAGAUACCAUGCUAAUUGUAUGCACUCCCAAAGUCUAGACAUCUGAAAGGAUAUUCAGUAAGACCUUCUGUAAUGAGUGGACCUGGCUAACCCUGUACCAACACUCAUUCUACACUUGUGUAAUCCAGCCAUCUUGUUCUUGCGACAGCUUUGGAAAAAAAAAUCUCUCUUCAUUAUACCAUAGAGGUUAUCAUGGUGUACAUGCUGUGAACAUGUUUAUGCACAAGUUGAAGUUGUAUCUUUGUCUAUAUUGAAUUUUAUCACUUUUCCCUUUUGGACAGUGGCAAGCACACACCCUUCACAGUUUAACAUUUACUUUAAGAGUUUCUAUACACGCUAGGCAGCUAGAGCCAGAUUUUAUAUUGGUAGUUAUACCAAUAUACAUUGUAACAGAAUGGCUAAAUAUUUGAUAAAAUAGUAAUUGUUUCCUUUUCUUAUUGGCUAUUUCUUUAUUUACGCUUCAAAUGUUAUUCCCUUUCUUGAUUUCCUGUCCAUAAGCCCCCUCUCCCCUUCUUCUAUAAGGGUGUUCCCCUCCCCAUCCCCCCCUACUGUCCCCACCUACAUUCCCUUACACUGGGGGUCCAACCUUGGUUUCUUGUUCCAUUGGUGCUCCUCUGCUACAUAUGCAGCCGGAGCCCAGGGUCAGUCCAUGUAUAGUGUUUGGGUAGAGGUUUCAUCCUUGGGAGCUCUGGUUGUUGGUAUUGUUGUUCUUAUGGGGUUGCAAGCUCCUUCAUCUCCUUCAAUCCUUUAUCUAAUUCCUCCAACCGGGGUCCGUUCUCAGUUCAGUGGUUUGCUGAACUGUAUUUGACGUGCUUUGGCUGUGUCUCUCGGGAGACAUCUAUAUCCAAUUCCUGUCAGCAGGCACUUCUUAGCUUCAGCAAUCUUAUCUAGUUUUGGUAGCUGUAUAUAUAUGGGCCACAUGUGGGGCAGGCUCUGAAUGGCCGUUCCUUCAGUCUCUGCUCCAAACUUUGCCUCCCUAUCCCAUCCUAUGAAUAUUUUUGUUCCCCCUUUUAAGAAGGACUGAAGCAUCCACAUUUUGGUCAUCCUUCUUGAACUUCAUGUGGUCUAUGGAUUGCAUCUACGGUAAUUUGAGCUUUUGGGCUAAUAUCCACUUAUCAGUGAGUGCAUAUCAUGUGUGUUUUUCUGUGAUUGGGUUACCUCACUUGGAGUGAUAUUUUCUAGUUCAUUCCACUCGCUUAUGAAUUUCAUGAAGUCAUUGUUUUUGAUAGCUGAUUAGUACUUCAUGGUGUAGAUGUACAACAUUUUUUGAAUCCAUUACUCUGUUGAAGGGCAUCUGGGUUCUUUCCAGCUUCUGGCUAUUAUAAAUAAGGCUGCUAUGAAAAUAAUGGAGCAUGUGUCUUUGUUAUAUGUUGGGGCAUCUUUUGGGUAUAUGCCCAGGAGAGGUAUAGCUGGGUCCUCAGGUAGUGCAAUGUCAAAUUUUCUGAGGAACCUCCAGACUGCUUUCCAGAGUGGUUAUACCAGUUUGCAAUCCCACCAAUAAUGGAGGAGUGUUCCUCUUUUUCCACAUCCUCGCCAUCAUCUGCUGUCACUGGAGUUUUUGAUCUUAGCCAUUCUGACUGGUAUGAGGUGGAAUCUCAGGGUUGUUUUGAUUUGCAUUUCUCUGAUGACUAAGGAUGUAAACAUUUUUUUAGGUACGUCUCAGCCAUUUGAUAUUCCUCAGCUGAGAAUUCUUUGUUUAUCUCUGUACCCCAUUUUACAAGGGUGAUAGUUAUGUAUAUAUAUAUAUGUUAUUACUAAGAAAAUUUUUUUAUUACUUUUUUAAAUUAACAUAAGUAUUUCUUAUUUACAUUUCGAGUAUUAUUCCCUUUCCCGGUUUCUGGGCCAACAUUCCCCUAACCCCUCCCCCUCCCCUUCUUUAUGGGUGUUCCCCUCCCCAUCCUCCCCCAAUUGCCGCCCUCCCCCCAACAGUC